rnacentral:rRNA from 1 species
UACGUAGGGGGCAAGCGUUGUCCGGAUUUAUUGGGCGUAAAGAGCGUGUAGGCGGUUUGGUAGGUCCGCUGUGAAAACUCGAGGCUCAACCUCGAGACGCCGGUGGAAACCAUCAGGCUAGAGUCCGGAAGAGGAGAGUGGAAUUCCUGGUGUAGCGGUGAAAUGCGCAGAUAUCAGGAAGAACACCCGUGGCUAAGGCGGCUCUCUAGUACGUGACUGACGCUGAGGCGCGAAAGCUAGGGGAGCAAACGGG